GUCGAUCAAGCAGACGAAAUUCGGGUUAGUUAAAUGAGUCGAGUUGAGUGACACGAGGUUGUAAAAUAACGGCCGACCUUCGAUGUUGGUGCACCACAUUCUUGGGGCAAUAUACAUACAUACAGGAGACAAGGCGUUAAACAGGCAAAACUGUUUUUAUGUGCUGGCCAGGACGCAACGGCCCAGGGGUUCCGGCCACCCACCCACGUCAUGAAUAAUGAACUCGUCGUUUUUGGGGGAUCUUCUAGAUACAUUUGCGACUGUGCUCAGCUGCCUACUCCCCUCAUUUUAAACGGAGAAAAUGUUAAAAAAGGGCGGAAACAUCUGUGACUGUGGACGUCGGGACCGGUCGCCCCACACACACCAACCACUCAACUCGACUUUGAAAUUGAAAUUGAUUGUUUGUUCAAUUAGCUGGUCCAUUACCAGCUGUGUGAACUGUUGCCUUCCAUCACACUCCAUCGACUUACCUCGCUCGCUCGUCGUCCGACUCUGCUGGCCGUUUUCAUUUCCAGGAAAGAGAGAAACAACUUAUUAUACAACUCGGAUAUGCGUCUUUCUCUUGGGGAGAGGGAAAACGCGUUUGGUUGGAGUCGCCAGAAAUCGUCGCGUCAUAAAACCAUCAAACAAAAAAAAAAGCGCCAAGAUGACUUCAAAAAGGUGGAAAUCAUUUCUAUUUUUCUCCCAGUGUGUAUGGGGAGCACAGCCAAAACAGAAAUGUAUAUCUAUCCCUUGGAGGGUUCAAACUUUUCCUUUUGUUAUAAUAUAAUAAUAAUAAUAAAAAAAUGGUAGUCGAAGGGACAGUGUCGCCCCAUAGUCUUUUGCUGCAGGUACACACAGUCCUUCCAUCCAUGCGGCGAUCGACGGACAAGAAGAGGAAAAAUUUCCCUUUUUAUUUUUUUCUUAUCGUUUUAUAUUCCCAAUACUAAAGAGCUAGUCAGCGCUCUUGAUCAUCAUCUGAUGUGUCGUCGCCGCCUCUGCCUCUUGGCGGCGACAACAACUUAUAUCUCCCCUUCCAUUUUUACCUUUUUGGGUUGACUAUAAAAAUCUUUCUUGAUUUUUCGACUCUUUUUUUUUUUUGCGCCCAUAUAGACCCACAGUCGCUUGCUUUGACCUUUGAACUCGUUUUUAUUUUUUCCUUUUAAAUCCGUCUCGCGCCAGAAAGACUUGUAAAGCUCUCUGGUCAGUGAUACAUCACGUUGAAAUUUUUCCAAGGAAAAAUUGUUUUCUUUUAAAUAAAAUUCCACUCAACUAUAAAAAUUAGAUAUUUUUUCUUUGAGAGAGUAGUAAACUGGAGAAGGACACGCUCUUGUGUUUCUAAUGAAGAGAUGAAAACUCGGUCAUGACUCAUGACGCUUGUUGUUAAUCACGACAUCUUUUUUCUUUUCGGUCGCCGUAAUAAAAUUUAAACAAAAUAAAAAACGGUGCUCGAAAUGAUGAUAGCAACGCAACGAGAUGUUGUUAUUCGUGUGUUGUGUUCCCGGUCUCUCUCUCUCUUUAUUAUUAUAUUAAGAGCGCUCACGAAUGUGUAAUAAGUUGAAAACAAGUCCAUUUCGACGAGCUUGCGGUUCCUUGAAAAACUGGUGCCGUUUUUUACGACACGCAAUUUCAGACUUUUUCUCCUUUUUUUUCUUUUUUCUUUACGAGUCCCGAUGAUGAAAUCCAUUUGGACGGACCCGUUGAAUUCGAUCAUGUGGACCGUCAUAACUUUUUAUCCUCGGGCUGGUUUUUUUUUUCCUUAUAGAAUGGUGGACGCAAUAUCUGCGCAAUAGAUAAGAGCACGCGUGUGCAGUCUGUCGGGGCGUGGUCGGUUUUUAUUGCAUUCAAAAAAAUGAAUUCGAUAUAGUGUUUCUUUUCUCUCUCGAUUUAUGUAAUGUGAGCAGCUGUGUUUAUGAUGGGGCUUUCGCAUUCGUUUAAAAGAUGUUCUACUAAGAGAGUUUUCCCUUUUUCUCUGGGCUUUUUGGCUUGUUUUCAAAUUUGAUUUUGUGGGACGUACUUUCGGUCUGAUUUGCGCUCCUAAUUCAUUUCAUGUGGCCCUUGUUGAAGGAGCAAACGAGGCCUGAUCAAUGAAUAGCAGAGGGUUGUGGGUCAAUUUGUGCCACAUGUUUUUGGUAUGGACGACCACUUAUGGAGGGGCAGAGGGGUUAACAAGGCAAUGGUGUGUUUGUGUUGACUUUGAUAAUUAGCCGGCGAUGACACUCUUUUGCCUGGCGGUUUUGAACAUUUUGGUAUUUUUUGAAAUUCAGCUAUAUAGCGCUAUCUAGGAGCGGCUUUAGUAAACACUUGACUGUUUUUCGUCGCCAU